UGGGGUUUCACGAAGUGGAAUUUGGGGAUUAAAUGGGAGUCUUUGGGGUCAGGUCGACCCGCCGCUUCCUCUCCACAGACUCUGCGGCGACUGCCAGACUCCACCACUCACUCCCCGCCACCUCCACAUCCCAGUAAUGUCUCCCCGAU